CCUACGGGUGGCAGCAGUGGGGAAUAUUGGACAAUGGGCGAAAGCCUGAUCCAGCCAUGCCGCGUGUGUGAAGAAGGCCUUCGGGUUGUAAAGCACUUUCAGUGGGGAAGAAAGCCUUGGGGCUAAUACCCUCGAGGAAGGACAUCACCCACAGAAGAAGCACCGGCUAACUCCGUGCCAGCAGCCGCGGUAAUACGGAGGGUGCGAGCGUUAAUCGGAAUUACUGGGCGUAAAGCGCGCGUAGGCGGUCUGAUAAGCCGGUUGUGAAAGCCCCGGGCUCAACCUGGGAACGGCAACCGGAACUGUCAGGCUAGAGUGCAGGAGAGGAAGGUAGAAUUCCCGGUGUAGCGGUGAAAUGCGUAGAGAUCGGGAGGAAUACCAGUGGCGAAGGCGGCCUUCUGGACUGACACUGACGCUGAGGUGCGAAAGCGUGGGUAGCAAACAGGAUUAGAUACCCCAGUAGUC
rnacentral:rRNA from 1 species